rnacentral:rRNA from 1 species
GACGAACGCUGGCGGCGUGCUUAACACAUGCAAGUCGAACGGAAAGGCCCUGCUUUUGUGGGGUGCUCGAGUGGCGAACGGGUGAGUAACACGUGAGUAACCUGCCCUUGACUUUGGGAUAACUUCAGGAAACUGGGGCUAAUACCGGAUAGGAGCUCCUGCUGCAUGGUGGGGGUUGGAAAGUUUCGGCGGAUGGGGAUGGACGCGCGGCUUAUCAGCUUGUUGGUGGGGUAGUGGCUUACCAAGGCUUUGACGGGUAGCCGGCCUGAGAGGGUGACCGGCCACAUGGGGCCUGAGAUACGGCCCAGAGUCCUACGGGAGGCAGCAGUGGGGAAUAUUGCACAAUGGGCGGAAGCGUGAUGCAGCAACGCCGCGUGCGGGAUGACGGCCUUCGGGUUGUAAACCGCUUUCGCCUGUGACGAAGCGUGAGUGACGGUAAUGGGUAAAGAAGCACCGGCUAACUACGUG